AAGGAACGCGUGCAAGCCUGCACGUGUGUGGAAGGAACUGCUGCCUGACUGUGGGGUGCCACGAGUCGUUCGGCGAUCCAGUCCCAACGGCAGGAACGGCAACAGUGGGUGGCGAAGGCCGCAAUUCACAACAGGGCAGGGAUGCCCCUCUGCCUGCAUCUGACGGUGAGACAAGGGAGGCCGUGUUCAGGUGUGGAGUGGGGCGGGACUGUGCGGCGACACGCUGUCAGGAGGACACAGGUCUGCGAUAGGAGCCUCCUCCCUGGUCUGCUGCUGGCGAGUUUUACCAUACCGGAAGAGAAGUUCCUCUCCUGUCUCUUUCAGAUAAGGACCAUUCGCCCAUGUGUGGCUGGACUGUGGGAUUAUGGGACUGUGGGAGGGUAAUUUUAGCAUGUGGAAAAUAUUUUUUAGCCUUGUUUUAAUAGUGUAUAGUUAUUUCUGCCGGCAGGGUUUUUAGUGGGUUGCAAACACUAUUUUUAUUGUAUACGGGGAAUUUUAGUGUGGUGUGUGUGGUGUGUGUGGUGUGUUGCUUAGUUUCUGUGCCCUGAGUGCUGACCCGCUCGUUCCCCUUUUCGCUUGUAUGUAUACAGACGUGGUGGUGAAGAUUUACGUUCACCAGUCUUAGUGGCUACAUAUACACUACUCUGUAUUGAAUUAUGAGUUAUUAUUGACCUUUGGCUCUCUUCCACCAACCCUUCCACAGCAUGUAUUUGGCUUGUCUCUCUCCCCCAACUCCCACAUAGUCCCAAACAGUAGAUGGCUGCACCUAACCUGAGACUUGUCCUGUUGGAGAUUUCUUCCAAUUAAAAGUGAGAUGCCCUUGAACAUUAUAUCUUCAAAUCCUCAGAUUUUCCUCAACAUCUUUGCAGAGUAGGACAUUUGCCAUGGAUACACAAAUGAGCAAACUGGAAGAGGCAAUGGAAGAAGUUCUUGACAUAUUUAAACAGAAAUGCACACAGAGCAAAACAAUGAUGAAAAAAGAUCUGAAGAGAACCCUGAGAGCAGAGCUGGUUAAUUGGCUGCAGAACUGCAAGGAUAAGACAAAACGUGACAACAUCUUGAGGGAGCUGGAUGAAAACCCACACGACUGUGUGAACUUUGAGGAGUUUGUUUACUAUGUGACUCGACUGAUGAUGUGCGGUCAUUACUACUUACAAAAAUAGACUGUUACUCUCAGCUUGUUUCUAACACAGGAAUUGGAAUUGAAGAUCUUAGCUUGACUGUGUUCAGUAGAAAAUAUCGUCCUCUCAACCCAGUUAAUAUCAUUUUUUUGUCAUUACAGCAACUCUUUCACCUUUGUACUGAUUGAUAACAUGAAUGUGAAUUUAUUAAAACUCUCAGAGUUUAUAUAGUUGUGUAUUUAAAUCUGGUCGGUGUGUCUUUUAAAAAAAAAAUCAUGUUGAUGUAACGAGUCUCUGAAAUGUUUUCUACUGUGUGUUUUAUAAUAAAUCAGUGCUGUUGCUGAUCAAAA